GACAGAGGUGCCGAGCGUUAGGCGGAAUCACUGGGCUUAAAGCGUGUGUAGGCGGACUCGUAAGUGCUUUGUGAAAUCCCACGGCUCACCCGUGGAACUGCUUGGCAUACUGCGAGCCUUGAGCCACUUAGGGGCAACCGGAACAAACGGUGGAGCGGUGAAAUGCGUAGAUAUCGUUUGGAACGCCAAUGGUGAAAACAGCUCGCUGGGGGUGCACUGACACUGAGACACGAAAGCCAGGGGAGCGAACGGG
rnacentral:rRNA from 1 species